UGUUUUUUUUUUUUUUUUUUUUUUUUUUUUUUUUUUGUGAAGGGAAAUACACGUAGCUAUAACUGGUGAUGUUACAUAAAUCAUUUUUGGACAAUCCAAAAAUCCAGAAUUCAGAUUUUGUACAACAAAAUCGUGACUUCUGACUUCAAUAUACGAUCACUUCAAUUUUAGAUUUAAAAACAAAUAAUUAUGAUUAGUUAUAAAAUUGUUUAAAAAAUACAAAAAAAAUUCGAAAUCAAAGUUUCAUAGUCCAAAAUUAUACGGUUAUAAACAAAAUUUUGGAUUUCGGAUUCUGAAUUUCUAUCAAUCUUCGGCAAAUUGAUGUUUUUCCUACCAUUAUACGAAAACCAGACCAAAAGUAUCGAGAUUCGGGGAUUGACGGAUUUGAAUUUUGAAAACAGAUUCAAUUUCGUAGUCUACAUAGUUUUUCGGGUUUUAAUCGAGGUUAUUUUUGUGACAAUCGUAAAUCAUCACGAAUUAGUUGUACAAAUAACAUAAAUAUAAUCCAU